rnacentral:rRNA from 1 species
CAGCCGCCGCGGUAAUACGGAGGGUGCAAGCGUUAAUCGGAAUUACUGGGCGUAAAGCGCACGCAGGCGGUCUGUCAAGUCAGAUGUGAAAUCCCCGGGCUUAACCUGGGAACUGCAUUUGAAACUGGCAGGCUAGAGUCUUGUAGAGGGGGGUAGAAUUCCAGGUGUAGCGGUGAAAUGCGUAGAGAUCUGGAGGAAUACCGGUGGCGAAGGCGGCCCCCUGGACAAAGACUGACGCUCAGGUGCGAAAGCGUGGGGAGCAAACAGGAUUAGAUACCCCUGUAGUCCCUGUCUCUUAUAC